UACGGAAGGCAGCAGUGGGGAAUAUUGCACAAUGGGCGAAAGCCUGAUGCAGCUAUGCCGCGUGUAUGAAGAAGGCCUUAGGGUUGUAAAGUACUUUCAUCGGGGAGGAAAAACAAAACUAAUAAUUUUAUUUCUUGACGUUACCCGAAAAAGAAGCACCGGCUAACUCCGUGCCAGCAGCCGCGGUAAUACGGAGGGUGCUAGCGUUAAUCAGAAUUACUGGGCGUAAAGAGCACGUAGGUGGUUUUUUAAGUCAGAUGUGAAAUCCCUGGGCUUAACCUAGGAACUGCAUUUGAAACUGAAAUACUAGAGUAUCGUAGAGGGAGGUAGAAUUCUAGGUGUAGCGGUGAAAUGCGUAGAUAUCUGGAGGAAUACCUGUGGCGAAAGCGGCCUCCUAAACGAAUACUGACACUGAGGUGCGAAAGCGUGGGGAGCAAACAGGAUUAGAUACC
rnacentral:rRNA from 1 species